rnacentral:misc_RNA from 1 species
AAGACUAUAGACCUGCGGAGUACCUGCGGAGGGAUCAUUAUCGAGUGUGACCCUCCUGUAAAAAAGGGGGUACCUCCCGUCCUUUUGCUAGGCCCUCCCCCUCCAAAAAUUUUUUUGACAGGGGGAAGCUUUUUCAAACCUUCUGCUUCGGUGGGUUUUAAACCCCGCCGGAACAACCUCAAAAAUUCUUUAUAAUUGUUCUGUCCGAGAAAAAUUUUAUUAAAAUGAAAAAACUUUUAA